UCGUGACCCUGACCAAAACAGACCGCGCACGCGUCAUCCAAUCCGUCGGCGACGGCACCGUCCGUCGCUUGACCAAUGCCUCGACCACCUCCCCUCCUCGGAGUGGGUGGGGGCUCGGGGCAAAAGAACCCACGGCGCCGAAGGCGUCAAGGAACACUGUGCCUAACUCGGGGGCAUGGCUAGCUUGCUAGCCGUCCCUCGUGUUGCAAAGCUAUUUAAUCCACACGACUCUCGGCAACGGAUAUCUCGGCUCUCGCAUCGAUGAAGAACGUAGCGAAAUGCGAUACCUGGUGUGAAUUGCAGAAUCCCGCGAACCAUCGAGUCUUUGAACGCAAGUUGCGCCCGAGGCCACUCGGCCGAGGGCACGCCUGCCUGGGCGUCACGCCAAAACACGCUCCCAAACCCCUCAUCGGGAAUCGGGAUGCGGCAUCUGGUCCCUCGUCUCGCAAGGGGCGGUGGACCGAAGAUCGGGCUGCCGGCGUACCGCGCCGGACACAGCGCAUGGUGGGCGUCCUCGCUUUAUCAACGCAGUGCAUCCGACGCGCAGCCGGCAUGCUGGCCUCAAAAUGACCCAGCAAACGAAGCGCACGUCGCUUCGACC
rnacentral:rRNA from 1 species